GACGAACGCUGGCGGCGGGCUUAACACAUGCAAGUCGAACGGGAGCCUUCGGGCUCCAGUGGCGCACGGGUGCGUAACACGUAGGCAACCUGCCCUUAGCUGGGGAAUAACCCCGGGCAAGACCGGGGCUAAUACCGCAUGACGUCGAGGGAUCGCAUGGUCCUUCGAUCAAAGCUAUAAGCGGCUAAGGAUGGGCCUGCGGCGGAUUAGCUAGUAGGUAGGGCAACGGCCUACCUAGGCGACGAUCCGUAGCUGGUCUGAGAGGAUGAUCAGCCACACUGGCACUGAGACACGGGCCAGACUCCUACGGGAGGCAGCAGUGAGGAAUCUUGCGCAAUGGUCGAAAGACUGACGCAGCCACGCCGCGUGGAGGAUGAAGGUCCUAUGGAUCGUAAACUCCUUUUCUGCGAGAAGAACCCUCAUCGAACGAUGAGUCUGACGGUAUCGCAGGAAUAAGACCGGCUAACUCCGUGCCAGCAGCCGCGG
rnacentral:rRNA from 1 species